rnacentral:lncRNA from 1 species
AGAGCGCGCUCGGCCGCCCGGCCGCCCGCAGCCGCGGGGCUGACAAACCAGCGGCGGGAGGCUGCGAAGCGGCUGUGCCUGUGGCGGCUGCUCCUUACCGCAGCGCCCUCCGUUUUCCGCGGACACGGCUGGGCGUGCGCGCGCGCGUGCGUGCGAUCCUUCCGCGGCGCCCGGGCACGGAGGGUCCCGGGAAGGGCGGGGGGAGACUGAGGCGGGGGCGCGGAGGGAUACCGCCCCGGGACAAUCACGGCCGCCACGUGCGGGAGGCGCCGGCCGGGAGCGGUGGCGGGCCGAGCUUCGGACCUCGGGCCGGCGGAGAGGGUGGACCCCGCGUCGCUCUCGGCACCCCAGGAACAGCGGCGGCACGGACGCCUUGGAGCCCCGCGGCCGGGCCGCGAUGUGCUUUUCUCCUGUGUUCGCUGCCCGGGAUGCGGAAUCUUGAGCCUCGGUGUCGGGUUACAGAGUUGUCCUGGUGACGGGAUGCGGAGCGUUUCCUCCUUUUUGUUGUGGGGGCGGCUGGUGGCAGGGGCAGCUGGUGGCAGGGUUGCCCACGCUAAUCUCCGAGUCUCUAAGGGCACCGUCUUUCCUGGAUCCCUCUUGCGCCUCGUCCAUAAAGGCAGACCCGCGGGCGCGCGCCGGCAACCUGAAAUCAGAGCAGGCGUCCGUGGCGCUCAGGAACCUUGCUGAGCUUCGCCGAUCUUUCAUUGUUGCUUCAUUUGGGUACCAAGGGCCUCUCAUUCUGUGGAUUCUUUGCCUGGAGGAGCCCCCUUAAUGUUGCUAAUCACGUGUGGUUAAAUUGCUCGUAAAUUCCGAACAAAACAAAUAGCGACCUGUGUUACACUGUUUCUUGGUAACUGGGAAAGUUACUGGUGGCUUGAAGUAUACGCAGAAAAUACAAAGAUUAAAAACUAGGGAAGAGUUCACUGAAUGAACACCGUAACAUUUCUGCUCUGCAGGGUAAAAUAAUUUCGGGACCCAGGUCUGGGAAAGAUUUGUAUUAACAAGGUAAACGGUGGGUAGAGUGCCUGAGAAGCUAUUCGUAUCGUCUUUGGUAGCCUCUGGGCACUAGGACUAGACAUGGAAUUAGGGGUCCCCCAACAAUGACUUCAAUUUUAGGUUAAUAGAAACCAUCUGCCACUUAAGGGAAAGAAAGCACCAAAAUGUAGAUAAGUUGAUGUUCACCCUUAAAGUUAUCGUGUGAGGUCAUGAUUUGUAGGAGGAUUAAGGAAUGUAUCUCUGGAAAGGGCAAGAACGUUGCUUUUAAAAGUCUAAUUGGUUCUGAAGUUUUAUAUUUUUUCUGCUGAUUGCUUUAAAAUGUUCAGCUACUAGAGAGAAAAAAAGUACAGUAAAAGAAACCCCCAAGUCAGAGACCUAUCAGACUGAGAAUAUGUAUUUUCUCAUGUUCUAAAGAUACAGAAUACCUGUGUGGUGUAAAAUGUGAACCAAAAAUUGUUUCAUUUUUGUAAGUGUGCCUCCCACCUGAUUUAAUUACACUUAAUUGUUCUUGUUUAUGACUCUGCCUUUUAUGGUGAUGUUGAUCAUUUUAGUCCUUCGAUCAUAGCACUGUAUCAUCUUAAAAGUUAAUAAUAGAUUACUUGUAACACAGGCUCACUAUGUGAGAAUUCAUCAAGCUGUAUGUACAUUUAUUGUGCUCUUCAUUGUAUGUAUAAUUCAAUAAAUUGAAACAGUAAACGAAAAGGUAAUUAUAGAAAAAAUACAGUGAUAACUUGAAGUAUGUUGAAUUUUUAUUAAUUUACUCUGAAGGUUUUAAGAUAUAAUUUCUAGACGUUACUAUCUUAUUGUUAUAGCACAGAGUUGGAAAUAACUACAUUCUUUUCCUAUUCUUUUAUUGUUGGCUUUAAACAGUGAAAGAAUUUGACCAACAAUAUUUUCUAAUUCAAAUCUCAAAAGAUUCUAAAACACAUUUCUUGGGUAAAAUAUUCACAAAAAUUUAGAAUUCUUGUCAUUCUUCUAUAUUUUUCAAAAUAUAAUUCAUUUUAAAUUACUGCUUACUUUUCCAACAUGAUGUUAUUUUUCUAGAAUUGCAAACAGUAAAAUUUAAACAACUAUGAAAAAAAUUCUGUAUAAUAGAUUAAAUUUUACAGUUUCAAUUUUUAGGUUAUAUAUUCAAAGAGAGUCCAUGUGCUGUCUUGGUUUUCAGUACUGUAAUAAAGUAACCUGUGCUUUUUUGUUUGUUUGUUUAUUGAGAUGAGACUCCGUCACCAGGGCUGGAGUGCAGUGGCAUGAUCUCGGCUCACUGCAACCUCCGCUUCCUGGGUUCAAGCGAUUCUCCUGCCUCAGCCUCCCAAAAGUAGCUGGGAUUACAGACACCCGCCACUACGCCCAGCUAAUUUUUUGUAUUUUUUGUAGAGACGGGGUUUCACCAUGUUGGCCAGGCUGGUCUCAAACUCCUGACCUCGUUAUUCGCCUGCCUCGGCCUCCCAAAGUGCUGGGAUUACAGGCAUGAGCCACCAUGCCCGGCCACCUGUGCUUGUUUUCUUUAGAACCAGCUUCCUUGCAUGCUGCUUUAUUUUCCAUUUGUGUACAGUGAUCCCUUCCUAUUUCAUCUAAGUGUUGCUUAUACGUUUCAGAAAGUAUAAAUAGAGGUGGAAUACUGAGCUUUAGUAAUAACAAUAUUGGUUCACUUAAGUCCAAAGGAGUAUCAGUGUGAGAAAAAGAAUUGCCAAUUUGUAUCUUCCUCUACUUUUCUGAGAGUAAGUAAUCCCUAGGAUAAUUGUAAUAUCUGGGCAGAAGUUUAGAAAAGUUGUGGCUGUGUUGUUGAUACAAAUAGCCAGAAUAAUGUAGCCAUUAACAAUCAGUAGCAUAUUUAAGUUUGGAGUGCAUUAUUAUGCAUUCUUUCCAGAAUUAUUUUAUUCUUAUUGAGUAAAGCAGAAACUGUGUAGUAAGCCACGUUCUUUAAUGUGUAAGUCAAGUGGUGUCUGAACCACUUGAGUCCAUGUAAAAAUCAUUUGAAAUUUUAGCAAAACACAAACAAGAAAUUAUCUUUAAAAUGUACACAACCUGAUAAUCAUUGGGAGCAGGAUCUAAAACUAUACACAGUAAUUACCCCCAAAUUUAGUAAAACCAUAAUUAACCAUCAGUUAUUUAAAAAUUUCACCGCAUAGUUCAUUUCUGAAAAAAGUAUAUGAAUUAUAAAAUCAAUAUCACAGCAAUAAAGUUUAGAAAAUGGAGAAAAAUCCUUAAUCCCACAAGCUAAUACAAAUAUCUUUUGAAUGUAUUCACUAUGUAUGAUUUUUACAGUAAAGAACAAGGAGAACUUAUAAUUCUGCAUUUGGCCAUUUUACCCUGAAAUUCUAUGAAUUUUUGCUUUUUAUAUUUUGAGGCUAUUAGGAAAAUGGAAAUUUAAAUUGUUAUAUUUUUCCUUUCUGAUGAAUUUAUUCUUUAUUAUUUAGUAGUUGCCCUCUUGAUCACCAAUACUGCUUUUUGUCUUAAAAUUUUUGUCAAAUAUUAAGGUAACAUCCCAGCUCUCUUUUUAUUGGUGUUUACCUUAUAUAUCUUUUCGCUCCCCACCUCUCUUUCAACCUUUCUCUGUCCUUUUUAUUUUGUGUCUCAUAAACUUCACGCAGCUGGAUUUUGUUUUUUUAUCCAAUAUGGCAGUAUAACCUUUAAUUGGCAAGUUUAUUCCAUUUACAUUCAUUGUAAUUAUUGACAUACAUUUGGACUUGUUUGAACUAAUUUUAUUAGUCUCUUUUUUUUUCUAUGCUUUUUUCUUCCUUGCCUUUAAAAAAAAUGUCGGGCAUGUGUGUUUUAUUCUUUUUUUUUUUUCAAAUUUAUGCUACCAAUUUUUCUUAGUGUUACCCUUAAAUUUUUGCCUUGCAUAUUUAAUACAAUAAAGUUUUAAGUUAAAUAUCUUAAACACUACCCCUAGACAAUCCAAAAACCUUAGAAUGUUUUAAGUCUGGACACCUCUCUCCAGACUCUUACACAGAUGUUUAUGUAUGUGUGUAUAUAUAUGUACUUACAUGUUUGUAUUUUAUUUACUUACUAUUCCUUUUCAUAUCUCAGAUCAUUCUAUGAUCAUUUUUCUUUCUAAAGUACAUCUUUUAGAAGUUCCUUUAAUAGCAGUCUGUUGGUGAGAAACUAUGUUUAUCUGAAAAUGUAUUUAUAUCACUUUCAUCCUCUGACAAUGGGUUGGAUCUACAAUGCAAAAUGGACACUUUGAAGAUGUUAUUCCAUUUCAUUUUGGUUUUUGUCACUGCUGUUGUAUCAUAUGGAUGAUUUGUCUCUUUUCCUCUGGCUACUUUGGAACCUUUUUGUGUUUGCUCUUCUACAGUUUCACUAUGAUGUGUCUACAUUUGGGUUUCUUUUAUUCUACUUAGGAAAAUAGAUUUAUAUUUAUCAUCACUUCUGUAAAAUUCUCAAUUACUAUCUCUUCAAUUAAUUCCUUUUUCUCAGUUCUCUUUACUGUCUUAGAGUUCAGAAUACAUAUGUUUCUGUUUCCUCUUCUGUUCUCCGUAUCUCUUAACUUCUUUCAUCUUUUUCAUCUUACUACUCUCUGUGCUCUAUUCUGGGUAAUUUCCUCAGAUGUGUAUUCCAUAUCACUGUUCAACUAUGUUUCAUCUGUUGAUAAACCCAUACAUUGAGACUUUUUUAAUUUCUAAAAGUCUAUUUUUCAUUUUAGAAGUUCCAUUUUAUUGUUAUGCGUAUCUUCCCAGUUAUUCCUGAUACUCUUGUAUUCCUUCCCGAUCUUUGUGGUUCCAUACUUCAUUUCUUUAAAUGUUUCUUACCUACUUAUUUUGUACUCUGUAUCUGUAUCUCAGUAGUCAGUAUUAAACGAGGCUUUUAAAAUCUUUUGUUUUUGCCCAAUGAAACCAUUCCAAUAUAUAAACAAGUUGUAUGUUGUUUUUCAUCUACCUCACCCAUAGUGGCUUGCCUCCUUGUAUGCUUGGUGAUCUUAAAGAUUGUGAAUGAUAUUUCAUUGAUCUUAAUAUGUAGGAAAUUUAAUGGCCUAAAGUGUGGAGACUUUUCUUCAAAAACAGUUUGUAUCUGCUUCUACUAUAUGUCCAGGGUGCUAAGCAACCUGGGGGCACUUUAACCCUUUCUCUGGUGCCCCCUAAAGGCAGGAGUAUCUGAUUCAGCUCCUCACAUAGUUGCCAUUUGCAUCUGCACUCAGACUAGCCCCAUUUUUCCUGGUUACAUACAGACUUCAGCUCUGCUUUCUGCUCAAGAUUUGUUUCCCUUUAUUUGGCAGGAAAAGGGUAUUUUGAAGAUUUCUCUAAUAAUUUCUGUAUGAGGAUUUCAGUUUCUCCACAUAUGCACCAACAGUUGAUAUUGUGUGUCUUUUUAAUUUUAAACAUUUUGCUAGUUGUAUUAUGGUAUUUAAUUAUGGCUUUAAUUUGCAUAUUUCCAAUGACAAAGGUGAGCAUCUUUUUCUUGUUGUUAGUCAUUUAGAUACUUUUUUGUGAAGUGCUUGUGCAAAUCUUUUGCUACAUAUUUUUCAUUGUUAAUGACUGUGCAGUAGUCCAUCAAGUGGCUGUAUCAUAAGUUAUCAUUUCUUAUUGAAAUAUCAGGUAAGUUGAGAAAAAAUAACCAAAAAAAAACUUCUUUAUGAUCUGUGUGGUGGUGAACUUUGAAUUGUGUGGAAAUGGAUGAAAUACAUUCUUUUAAAUGUCUGAUGGCAAGAUUUAAAAUAUGAAGUGUGGCACUUAAUUCAGUUAAUCAAAUGUGAUAGACAUUGCUGGUUUGCCUAUCCAGUAUGUACUCUUCUUCCUUGCUAACAGAAUCUUGAAUUUGCUUGAGAUAAUAGUAAAUAAUUUAAAAUACCUCCAUAAAUGCCCUUCCAGCUAGGGUGGUCAUCUAGUCCAUUGGCCAAUAAACUAGAUCAAAAGCUACUUCAUGGAAAGCUAUUUUUUCCUUGAUACCUAUAUCUUUCUGUAAAGGACUGCUCAGCUGGCAUAAGCUUUCUACUUUUAACCUGUCUUUUCUCUUGUCCAGAUUGUGAUUCAGUGUCAAAGUGGGGCAGUCAUUCGUAAGUGCUGAGCAUUGUGGAGCAGGAGGGGAAAGGGGCCUGUUCUCUCAAGGACCUUCACUAUCCAUUCAUUUCCUACCCCCAGACUCUUGUUAGAUUGGGUAAAUAAACUCCUUACUUGGUUAAAGUACUGUAAUCAGCCUGUGUUAAGUGCAACCAGACCCUGCUCUAACCAGAAUAUCCAUUUUGCUAUCCCACUUCAGGUCUCUAAGCAUUCUAGUUUAUCCAGUUUUGCUUUUCCAUAAUGAGUUAAGCUCUUGAGGAAAUGCUUUACAUCUAUUGCAUCCCUAUUGUAAUAAUGACUGAAUUAGCCAUAUCAUAGAAAAUUGCUCUACUGUUUGUUUUUUUUUUUUUGGCAAUAAUACAUUAAAUAGUGCCCUAGAGGCUUCAACGAUUUCGUGUACCUCCCUAAAUAUCACAUUAGCUGACAGAAAAUUCCUUAUGAGUUAUGACUCAUUUUUUCUGAUUUGAUGCAGAAAAGAGAAUUCUGGAAGCACAUGUAGAGCAUUUCAUUCCAAGUUAUAUGUGAACUUGAGAGAUGUUUUUUGUAGAAUUCCAAGGGUAAAGGCACAAAGCCUACAAAAACAUUGGCCAUCUUGUUAUCUGAUAUGAGAGAAAUGCAGGCAAUCCAUCAAAACACCCCCCAAAGAGAUUACAUGUCUAAUUUUUCUUCAUCUCAGUCCCAGAGGACAAAUAAUAAAAUUUAAUUAAGUAGCUGUUUCCCCCAAAAAAGUAUUAAAUGAGGCUUUUAAAAUCUUUUAUUUUUACCCAAUGAAACUCAGAUAUCACUUCUGGGAAAAAUUCUUUCUGGGUUCACAAACAUACUGACAGAGAACUAAAAGGAAAGUGUAAAUUGAGCAAUGGCUGUGUUCCAUUUACAAGCAUUUUAAAAGUGAAUGUCAAAUAUAUAGAUGUCUAAAUCAUUUGAUUUUCAAAGAAUGUAAACUUCACCACCACCAGCUACAGCACCCGCAUUCUUAUUGAGAAAUUUAUAUUAGGUAGCUAAUUAUGCACAUAAUAAGACUGUCAAAGAUCAUGUUGACACCUUAUCCCACUUUACCAUUUCAGGCUGAUCCAAACUCAUAAUAUGAAUAGAUGGACAUUGACCAAAGAGACCAGCAGCAGAACAAAAGCAUAAACAAACAUGAGAGUAGGCUAAUUUUACCAACCUGAGGUCAAAAAGUUCUCAUGAGAUCUGGUCGUUUGAAAGCAUGUACCACUUCCCUCUUCGCUCACUCUCUCCCUCCCGCUCCACCAUGUGAAGAUUGUGCCUGCUUCUCCUUCACCUUCUGCCAUGAUUGUAAAUUUCCUGAGGCCUCCCCAGCCAUGCCUCCUGUACAGAGACUGUGGAACUGAGCCCUAGAACCUGAAGAGCAUGUACAUUACUAACGAGAUAUACAAUCCAGCCACCCUGUCCAAACUGGAAUCUGAUUACUAAUGGACUACACUCGA